rnacentral:rRNA from 1 species
ACGACUCUCGGCUACGGAUAUCUCGGCUCUCGCAUCUAUGAAGAACGUAGCGAAAUGCGAUACUUGGUGUGAAUUGCAAAAUCCCGUGAACCAUCGAGUCUUUGAACGCAAGUUGCGCCCGAAGCCGUCAGGCCGAGGGCACGUCUGCCUGGGUGUUACGCAAC